GGUUAAGCGACUAAGCGUACACGGUGGAUGCCCUGGCAGUCAGAGGCGAUGAAGGACGUGCUAAUCUGCGAUAAGCGUCGGUGAGGUGAUAUGAACCGUUAUAACCGGCGAUUUCCGAAUGGGGAAACCCAGUGUGUUUCGACACACUAUCAUUAACUGAAUCCAUAGGUUAAUGAGGCGAACCGGGGGAACUGAAACAUCUAAGUACCCCGAGGAAAAGAAAUCAACCGAGAUUCCCCCAGUAGCGGCGAGCGAACGGGGAGGAGCCCAGAGCCUGAAUCAGUGUGUGUGUUAGUGGAAGCGUCUGGAAAGGCGUGCGAUACAGGGUGACAGCCCCGUACACAAAAAUGCACAUAUUGUGAGCUCGAUGAGUAGGGCGGGACACGUGGUAUCCUGUCUGAAUAUGGGGGGACCAUCCUCCAAGGCUAAAUACUCCUGACUGACCGAUAGUGAACCAGUACCGUGAGGGAAAGGCGAAAAGAACCCCGGCGAGGGGAGUGAAAAAGAACCUGAAACCGUGUACGUACAAGCAGUGGGAGCCUCUUAAUGGGGUGACUGCGUACCUUUUGUAUAAUGGGUCAGCGACUUAUAUUCUGUAGCAAGGUUAACCGAAUAGGGGAGCCGAAGGGAAACCGAGUCUUAACUGGGCGUUAAGUUGCAGGGUAUAGACCCGAAACCCGGUGAUCUAGCCAUGGGCAGGUUGAAGGUUGGGUAACACUAACUGGAGGACCGAACCGACUAAUGUUGAAAAAUUAGCGGAUGACUUGUGGCUGGGGGUGAAAGGCCAAUCAAACCGGGAGAUAGCUGGUUCUCCCCGAAAGCUAUUUAGGUAGCGCCUCGUGAAUUCAUCUCCGGGGGUAGAGCACUGUUUCGGCAAGGGGGUCAUCCCGACUUACCAACCCGAUGCAAACUGCGAAUACCGGAGAAUGUUAUCACGGGAGACACACGGCGGGUGCUAACGUCCGUCGUGAAGAGGGAAACAACCCAGACCGCCAGCUAAGGUCCCAAAGUCAUGGUUAAGUGGGAAACGAUGUGGGAAGGCCCAGACAGCCAGGAUGUUGGCUUAGAAGCAGCCAUCAUUUAAAGAAAGCGUAAUAGCUCACUGGUCGAGUCGGCCUGCGCGGAAGAUGUAACGGGGCUAAACCAUGCACCGAAGCUGCGGCAGCGACGCUUAUGCGUUGUUGGGUAGGGGAGCGUUCUGUAAGCCUGUGAAGGUGGCCUGUGAGGGUUGCUGGAGGUAUCAGAAGUGCGAAUGCUGACAUAAGUAACGAUAAAGCGGGUGAAAAGCCCGCUCGCCGGAAGACCAAGGGUUCCUGUCCAACGUUAAUCGGGGCAGGGUGAGUCGACCCCUAAGGCGAGGCCGAAAGGCGUAGUCGAUGGGAAACAGGUUAAUAUUCCUGUACUUGGUGUUACUGCGAAGGGGGGACGGAGAAGGCUAUGUUGGCCGGGCGACGGUUGUCCCGGUUUAAGCGUGUAGGCUGGUUUUCCAGGCAAAUCCGGAAAAUCAAGGCUGAGGCGUGAUGACGAGGCACUACGGUGCUGAAGCGACAAAUGCCCUGCUUCCAGGAAAAGCCUCUAAGCAUCAGGUAACAUCAAAUCGUACCCCAAACCGACACAGGUGGUCAGGUAGAGAAUACCAAGGCGCUUGAGAGAACUCGGGUGAAGGAACUAGGCAAAAUGGUGCCGUAACUUCGGGAGAAGGCACGCUGAUAUGUAGGUGAAGCGACUUGCUCGUGGAGCUGAAAUCAGUCGAAGAUACCAGCUGGCUGCAACUGUUUAUUAAAAACACAGCACUGUGCAAACACGAAAGUGGACGUAUACGGUGUGACGCCUGCCCGGUGCCGGAAGGUUAAUUGAUGGGGUUAGCGGUAACGCGAAGCUCUUGAUCGAAGCCCCGGUAAACGGCGGCCGUAACUAUAACGGUCCUAAGGUAGCGAAAUUCCUUGUCGGGUAAGUUCCGACCUGCACGAAUGGCGUAAUGAUGGCCAGGCUGUCUCCACCCGAGACUCAGUGAAAUUGAACUCGCUGUGAAGAUGCAGUGUACCCGCGGCAAGACGGAAAGACCCCGUGAACCUUUACUAUAGCUUGACACUGAACAUUGAGCCUUGAUGUGUAGGAUAGGUGGGAGGCUUUGAAGUGUGGACGCCAGUCUGCAUGGAGCCGACCUUGAAAUACCACCCUUUAAUGUUUGAUGUUCUAACGUGGGCCCCUUACCGGGGUUGCGGACAGUGUCUGGUGGGUAGUUUGACUGGGGCGGUCUCCUCCUAAAGAGUAACGGAGGAGCACGAAGGUUGGCUAAUCCUGGUCGGACAUCAGGAGGUUAGUGCAAUGGCAUAAGCCAGCUUGACUGCGAGCGUGACGGCGCGAGCAGGUGCGAAAGCAGGUCAUAGUGAUCCGGUGGUUCUGAAUGGAAGGGCCAUCGCUCAACGGAUAAAAGGUACUCCGGGGAUAACAGGCUGAUACCGCCCAAGAGUUCAUAUCGACGGCGGUGUUUGGCACCUCGAUGUCGGCUCAUCACAUCCUGGGGCUGAAGUAGGUCCCAAGGGUAUGGCUGUUCGCCAUUUAAAGUGGUACGCGAGCUGGGUUUAGAACGUCGUGAGACAGUUCGGUCCCUAUCUGCCGUGGGCGCUGGAGAACUGAGGGGGGCUGCUCCUAGUACGAGAGGACCGGAGUGGACGCAUCACUGGUGUUCGGGUUGUCAUGCCAAUGGCACUGCCCGGUAGCUAAAUGCGGAAGAGAUAAGUGCUGAAAGCAUCUAAGCACGAAACUUGCCCCGAGAUGAGUUCUCCCUGAGACUUAGAGUCUCCUGAAGGAACGUUGAAGACGACGACGUUGAUAGGCCGGGUGUGUAAGCGCAGCGAUGCGUUGAGCUAACCGGUACUAAUGAACCGUGAGGCUUAACCUU
rnacentral:rRNA from 1 species